UACGGAGGGUGCAAGCGUUAAUCGGAAUUACUGGGCGUAAAGCGCGCGUAGGCGGUUCGUUAAGUCAGAUGUGAAAGCCCCGGGCUCAACCUGGGAACUGCAUUUGAUACUGGCGAACUGGAGUAUACUAGAGGGGGGUGGAAUUUCAGGUGUAGCGGUGAAAUGCGUAGAGAUCUGAAGGAACACCAGUGGCGAAGGCGGCCCCCUGGAGUAAUACUGACGCUGAGGUGCGAAAGCGUGGGGAGCAAACAGG
rnacentral:rRNA from 1 species